UCCGGCCAUAUCAAGUUGAAACCAGUUUCCGUACGAUCAGCGAAGUUAAGCAUUGUCGAGCCUGAUCAGUACCUAGAUGGGUGACCGCUUGGGGAUACCAGUUGCUGUAAG